rnacentral:rRNA from 1 species
UCGAGGGCUUUACUGUCUCUUACUUCCAAYCYGUGAMAUUGACCUUCCCGUGAAGAGGCGGGAAUAUGACAAUAAGACGAGAAGACCCUAUGGAGCUUUAAUUAACCGACCCAAAGAGAUCUUGAUAAUCAACCGACAGGGAUAACAUACCUCUACCAUGGGCCGACAAUUUAGGUUGGGGUGACCUCGGAGAAUAAAACAACCUCCGAGUGAUUUAAAUCUAGACUAACUAGUCGAAAGUACUACAUCACUUAUUGAUCCAAAAACUUGAUCAACGGAACAAGUUACCCKAGGGRUAAGCGRGSGCAAUYYUWUUUUAGAGUCCAUAUCGACAAUAGGAUUGCG